UGAUAUGUUAUUUCCAUUUCAGGGGAAAAUGGAGACAGACAGAAAGACGAGCUGGGUUGCUUAAGGACCCUGGAUGAGAAGCGUCGAGUGCUGCCCGAGAGCCAAGUCUUCCCUCCCUCGCCAUCACUCAGAACCUCCCUCGCCUACUCAGAACCACAAGUCAAAAGAGAGCUUACAAACCAGACCUUGCCGCGCAUGUGGUAUGUCACAGGCCCAAGAUGCCACGAUUGGAUCAGGAGCUGUCAUUGGAGAAGACUGAGAUGGCCGGGUGACCCUUUUACAGAGGCUUCUCCAAGCCCCACGGACAACAAAUCGGUGGAAAUUCCAACGUGAAGGAAGUUUAUGUGGCUUCUUUCCC
rnacentral:lncRNA from 1 species